GAACUUAGCAGAGAUGCUUUGGUGCCUUCGGGAACUCUGAGACAGGUGCUGCAUGGCUGUCGUCAGCUCGUGUUGUGAAAUGUUGGGUUAAGUCCCGCAACGAGCGCAACCCUUAUCCUUUGUUGCCAGCGGUCCGGCCGGGAACUCAAAGGAGACUGCCAGUGAUAAACUGGAGGAAGGUGGGGAUGACGUCAAGUCAUCAUGGCCCUUACGAGUAGGGCUACACACGUGCUACAAUGGCGCAUACAAAGAGAAGCGACCUCGCGAGAGCAAGCGGACCUCAUAAAGUGCGUCGUAGUCCGGAUUGGAGUCUGCAACUCGACUCCAUGAAGUCGGAAUCGCUAGUAAUCGUAGAUCAGAAUGCUACGGUGAAUACGUUCCCGGGCCUUGUACACACCGCCCGUCACACCAUGGGAGUGGGUUGCAAAAGAAGUAGGUAGCUUAACCUUCGGGAGGGCGCUUACCACUUUGUGAUUCAUGACUGGGGUGAAGUCGUAACAAGGUAGGCGUAGUGCU
rnacentral:rRNA from 1 species